AUUUAUAUAUUAUAUUUAUUAUAUUUGAUUUCCAAUCAAAAAAUCUAGACAUUCUAGUAUAAAUA
rnacentral:tRNA from 1 species